AUAGUGAAACCGCGAAUGGCUCAUUAAAUCAGUUAUGGUUUAAAAGAUCGUGUCCACAUUUGGAUAACUGUGGUAAUUCUAGAGCUAAUACAUGCAGCAAGGCUCCGACCUCUUCAGGGACGAGCGCAUUUAUUAGAUCAAAACCAAUCGGUUCGCUCCGGCGGCCGUCGAAUUGGUGACUCUGGAUAACUCUAAGCGAAUCGCACGGACCUGCUCCGGCGAUGUAUCUUUCAAAUGUCUGCCCUAUCAACUUGCGUAGGCCGUUAACUUGACCGCCUUGGUUGUUACGGGUAACGGGGAAUCAGGGUUCGAUUCCGGAGAGGGAGCAUGAGAAACGGCUGCCACAUCCAAGGAAGGCAGCAGGCGCGCAAAUUACCCACUCCUGGCACAGUGAGGUAGUGACGAAAAAUAACGAUGCGGGUCCUAUCUAAGGCCUCGCAAUUGGAAUGAGUACACUUUAAAUCCUUUAACGAGGAUCAAUUGGAGGGCAAGUCUGGUGCCAGCAGCCGGGGUAAUYCMGGCYCCAAUAGCGUAUAUUAAAGUUGUUGC
rnacentral:rRNA from 1 species